GCGCCUUUUACCAGCUUCCCUGGCAGGGGGCGGUUUCCGUCGGCGCUGCUGCUGCUGCUGCUGCUGCUGCUGUUUUCCUCGCUGUCCAGAGUUCAAGGAGCAGGUCCACAGACAACGCUUCCUCCAGACGAUACAGCAUUCAACUGAAGUUGGUGGCUUGCAGCAUUCAUAGUGAACAACACUGAAAAGAAACCCAACCCAGGAGCAGCAGGUGCCUGGUAUUGUGUCUGCCAUAGUUUGUCUCACACAGAUUCUUUCUCAAAGGAAUGGCUCCAUCAUGUGGAAGGAGACAAUCCUUCAGUUGCUGCUGCUGUUUGUAUCUUUCUCCCUCUGUCUCCUGUUAGGCAUUAGAUGCUGGUAGCAGGUGUGCCACCCAUGUGGUUCUUACAAGUUUGUUUAGAUGAAAAGGCAACCACUUAUUUUCCAUGUGGGUAGCAGGUGGUAGAUAAGGCUUCCAUCUGAGCCUCACUUAUCUGUGAAUAAGCCCCUUAGAAUUCAAGAGAGCUUACACCUGAAGAGACAUAGUUAUGAUUACUCUAUGUCUUACUGCUGCCCGUCUUGUUCCAGCUGUGCUCUGCAAAUUAACUCCCAGAGUCUAUUGGAACAUGGGCCCAUAGAUCCCAGUAAAGGAAAAUGUCAUAGAGAUUUACGAAUUAUCUACUCCACUCCAAUGAACCUUGCCUUCUCUCCUAUAGCUUCAGAACUUCCUCUGAAUUUUUAUUUCCAAGUGAUUGCACCCAUCCACAUGUAGCCAAUGCUACCCUAAGGAGCAGGGAUC